rnacentral:rRNA from 1 species
GACGUAGGGCGCGAGCGUUGUCCGGAUUUAUUGGGCGUAAAGAGCUCGUAGGCGGUUUGUCGCGUCGUCCGUGAAAACUCACAGCUUAACUGUCGAGCUUGCGGUCGAUACGGGCAGGCUAGAGUUCGGUAGGGGAGACUGGAAUUCCGGGUGUAGUGGUGAAAUGCGUAGAGAUCCGGAGGAACACCAGUGGCGAAGGCGACACGCUGGGCCGUACCGUGACGCUGAGACGCGAAAGCGUGGGGAGCAAAGCAGG